CCUACGGGUGGCAGCAGUGAGGAAUAUUGGUCAAUGGACGAGAGUCUGAACCAGCCAAGUAGCGUGAAGGAUGACUGCCCUAUGGGUUGUAAACUUCUUUUAUAUGGGAAUAAAACGUUCCACGUGUGGGAUUUUGUAUGUACCAUAUGAAUAAGGAUCGGCUAACUCCGUGCCAGCAGCCGCGGUAAUACGGAGGAUCCGAGCGUUAUCCGGAUUUAUUGGGUUUAAAGGGAGCGUAGGUGGAUUGUUAAGUCAGUUGUGAAAGUUUGCGGCUCAACCGUAAAAUUGCAGUUGAAACUGGCAGUCUUGAGUACAGUAGAGGUGGGCGGAAUUCGUGGUGUAGCGGUGAAAUGCUUAGAUAUCACGAAGAACUCCGAUUGCGAAGGCAGUUCACUGGACUGCAACUGACACUGAGGCUCGAAAGUGUGGGUAUCAAACAGGAUUAGAUACACCAGUAGUC
rnacentral:rRNA from 1 species